UACGUAGGGGGCAAGCGUUGCUCGGAAUCACUGGGCGUAAAGCGCACGUAGGCGGCUUCUUAAGUCAGGGGUGAAAUCCUGGAGCUCAACUCCAGAACUGCCUUUGAUACUGAGGAGCUUGAGUCCGGGAGAGGUGAGUGGAACUGCGAGUGUAGAGGUGAAAUUCGUAGAUAUUCGCAAGAACACCAGUGGCGAAGGCGGCUCACUGGCCCGGUACUGACGCUGAGGUGCGAAAGCGUGGGGAGCAAACAGG
rnacentral:rRNA from 1 species